rnacentral:rRNA from 1 species
GACGUAGGGCGCGAGCGUUGUCCGGAUUUAUUGGGCGUAAAGAGCUCGUAGGCGGCUUGUCGCGUCGACCGUGAAAACUUGGGGCUCAACCCCAAGCCUGCGGUCGAUACGGGCAGGCUCGAGUUCGGUAGGGGAGACUGGAAUUCCUGGUGUAGCGGUGAAAUGCGCAGAUAUCAGGAGGAACACCGAUGGCGAAGGCAGGUCUCUGGGCCGAUACUGACGCUGAGAAGCGAAAGCAUGGGGAGCGAACAGG